ensembl:miRNA
CGGACAGGGAGGGUGUGAUAUGGAUUUGUUGACCCCUGAGGUGAUUCUGAUGACCUUUCUGUAUCUCACCUUCCUCAG